GACGUAGGGCGCGAGCGUUGUCCGGAUUUAUUGGGCGUAAAGAGCUCGUAGGCGGCUUGUUGCGUCGGCUGUGAAAACCCAUGGCUCAACCGUGGGCUUGCAGCCGAUACGGGCAGGCUAGAGUUCGGUAGGGGAGACUGGAAUUCCUGGUGUAGCGGUGAAAUGCGCAGAUAUCAGGAGGAACGACCGGUGGCGAAGGCGGGUCUCUGGGCCGAUACUGACGCUGAGGAGCGAAAGCGUGGGGAGCAAACAGG
rnacentral:rRNA from 1 species